rnacentral:ncRNA from 1 species
UAUUUUCUAAGUCAGUUUCUUUAUUCCCUUUACCACAAAGGUGAACGAUUUGGUAUUUCUCCAAUAAUUGUGGGAGCGUACCUCUCACAGAUUCGUUUAUUUUUUUUGAUCCUAAACUCCCACCCAUAAUUGUUAAUAUUGGUUUAUCAGUCGUAAAGUUUAGGAAUGAUCUUC